rnacentral:rRNA from 3 species
UACGGAGGGUGCAAGCGUUAUCCGGAUUCACUGGGUUUAAAGGGUGCGUAGGAGGGCAGGUAAGUCAGUGGUGAAAUCUCCGAGCUUAACUCGGAAACUGCCGUUGAUACUAUCUGUCUUGAAUACCGUGGAGGUGAGCGGAAUAUGUCAUGUAGCGGUGAAAUGCUUAGAUAUGACAUAGAACACCAAUUGCGAAGGCAGCUCACUACACGAGCAUUGACUCUGAGGCACGAAAGCGUGGGGAUCAAACAGG